rnacentral:rRNA from 1 species
UACGUAGGGUGCAAGCGUUGUCCGGAAUUAUUGGGCGUAAAGAGCUCGUAGGCGGUCUGUCGCGUCUGCUGUGAAAACUCGGGGCUUAACCCCGGGCCUGCAGUGGGUACGGGCAGACUAGAGUGCGGUAGGGGAGACUGGAAUUCCUGGUGUAGCGGUGGAAUGCGCAGAUAUCAGGAGGAACACCAAUAGCGAAGGCAGCUCGCUGGGACGGUACUGACGCUAAGGCGCGAAAAGCGUGGGGAGCGAACAGG